rnacentral:lncRNA from 1 species
UGUUUCUGAGAGGAAGAUAGCACCACCAGCAAAGAAGGCCAGACUUGACGGAGCUUCUGGAAGCGGAUCUUCAGCUCCUCUGCAAAUCUCAACUGGUAAGUCUGUUCCUCCUGUCUCCUCUAAUCUUCAGAUGGCUUCCUCUAACCCUCUCUCCUCUCAACCCAUUUAUACUACAUCUGAAAUCCCACCCUCAAUCACCAGAACCUCCCAACCUACACCAGUUCUAAACAUAGCCAGAACCUUCAUUCCUCCCUCUAUACCUG